rnacentral:rRNA from 1 species
AUGGUACAAGACUUCGAGCAGUCUGCCGCCGCUAUGGACUCAUCCUCGGGCUGGGCGGUCGCGCCGGCGGUCUCCACGGCCGCACCAACCAUGCCGAUCGGUGGCAUACUCACCAUGACAGGCAUCUUUCUGGUGUUCCUGACGUUCGCCCUCGCGCUCAUCUUCCUCCAGUACUACUUCAACACCAGCGUCCGGACCGCGCCGAGAGGGCGCCCACGCGGCGUGCGUGGGGUGGCCGCAGGGGGCGUCGACCCGGAGCUGCUGCGGUCGCUACCGGUCACGGUGUACCGCGCGGGGCCGAAGGGCUCCACGGACGACGUCGGGGUGGAGUGUGCGGUGUGCCUGACCGAGCUCGAGGACGGGGAGGAGGCCAGGUUCUUGCCCCGGUGCGGCCACGGCUUCCACACCGAGUGCGUCGACAUGUGGCUUGCCUCCCACACCAGCUGCCCGCUCUGCAGGGCCACCGUCGGCAAGCCCGACGCGUCGCAGGCGCUUACACCGACGAGUCUCCCUUCCUUGCCACCGGAGCCGAUGAACUACGCCGGGAACCUGCCGGCGAGUGUACUGCUCGGGGUUUCAGACCAGGCCACGCUCGCCGCGGUGACCGUGACCUCUCACGGAGCCUACUCCAGCCCCUCCGCCCUUGCCACCGCGGCAGUGCUGGUGAUCGACAUUCCGGACUCAAGGACAGUGGCGACCCCGCGCGGCGCGUCCAAGUCUCCGGGCUUGGCGAGGCUGAGGUCUUUGAAGAGGCUGUGGAGCUUCGGGAGGCAAGGACCGUCGGGGUCGACUCCCUCCUGUUCCGGUGGCAGCGGUAGCGGAACAGCAGACACAGACCAGGGUAUUAGCAUCACCUGUGCAACUCCAAGAGCUCCCGUGUAG